rnacentral:rRNA from 1 species
UGGGGAAUAUUGCACAAUGGGCGCAAGCCUGAUGCAGCCAUGCCGCGUGUAUGAAGAAGGCCUUCGGGUUGUAAAGUACUUUCAGUCGGGAGGAAGGUGUCAAGGUUAAUAACCUUGGCAAUUGACGUUACCGACAGAAGAAGCACCGGCUAACUCCGUGCCAGCAGCCGCGGUAAUACGGAGGGUGCAAGCGUUAAUCGGAAUUACUGGGCGUAAAGCGCACGCAGGCGGUUGAUUGAGUCAGAUGUGAAAUCCCCGGGCUUAACCCGGGAAUUGCAUCUGAUACUGGUCAGCUAGAGUCUUGUAGAGGGGGGUAGAAUUCCAUGUGUAGCGGUGAAAUGCGUAGAGAUGUGGAGGAAUACCGGUGGCGAAGGCGGCCCCCUGGACAAAGACUGACGCUCAGGUGCGGAAGCGUGGGGAGCAAACAGG